GAUGAAGAACGCAGCGAAAUGCGAUAAGUAAUGUGAAUUGCAGAAUUCAGUGAAUCAUCGAAUCUUUGAACGCACAUUGCGCCCAUUAGUAUUCUAGUGGGCAUGCCUGUUCGAGCGUCAUUUCAACCAUCAAGCCCCAGGCUUGUGUUGGGGACCUGCGGCUGCCGCAGGCCCUGAAAACCAGUGGCGGGCUCGCUGUCACACCGGGCGUAGUAGAUUUUAUCUCGCUCAGGGCGUGCUGCGGGUUCCGGCCGUUAAAAAGCCUUUUUUACCCAAGGUUGACCUCGGAUCAGGUAGGAAGACCCGCUGAACUUAAGCAUAUCAAUAAGCGGAGGA
rnacentral:misc_RNA from 1 species